rnacentral:rRNA from 1 species
UGCCAGCAGCCGCGGUAAUACGGAGGGUGCGAGCGUUAAUCGGAAUUACUGGGCGUAAAGCGCGCGUAGGCGGUUGUGUAAGUCGGAUGUGAAGGCCCAGGGCUUAACCUUGGAAUUGCAUUCGAAACUGCACAGCUAGAGUAUGGGAGAGGGAAGCGGAAUUUCCGGUGUAGCGGUGAAAUGCGUAGAUAUCGGAAGGAACAUCAGUGGCGAAGGCGGCUUCCUGGACCAAUACUGACGCUGAGGUGCGAAAGCGUGGGGAGCAAACAGGAUUAGAUA